rnacentral:lncRNA from 1 species
GGGGGUUACAAGGCAGAGUUCUAUGGAAUGUUGAAAGCUUUUUUUUGAGCCAACUGUCUUUUCCUGAGUGCUCUGACCCACUGGAGCUUAGAGAAGGAGGAAGUUUUCCCUCUGGAGCUCUUGGCAUUUUCCAGUGUCAGUUUGGGAAUACCAACAUCAAUAAUUAGUGACUGUGUGGCUGUGACCUAAGAGAUAUUACCAACUGAGAAAGAAGCAAAGAAGAUCUUUCUUUCCUGGUCUUUGUGAUCCUGACCAUGUGAAGACAGACUCUUGGAUUCAGCAAGAAAAAUCCAUUUUACCCUCAACAAUCAGCUCCUUAUACCAAGCAAGUCCCAGGAGCUCAAGACUGGAUCUCUGCUCAAGCACCAAUCUUAUAUUAACCCCUGAUUCUCCCCCUGUGCUCAUUCCCAUGGUAGUGAAGGGUCCCCUACCCAAAGGGACAAUGGGCCUUAUUAUGGAAAGGAGUUCUCUCUCUCUUCAGGGAGUGUUAGUGAUUCCAGGGAUUAUAGAUUCAGACUCUCUGGGUGAGAUUCAGGUGAUGAUACAACCCUACUAGGACAGUAAAUAUAGUGAAAGCACAAAGAAUUGCACAAUUAAUCCUCAUUCCCAAUGUGAGAACUGCAAACCCUGUUCUUAAACUAUCCCAAGGACAAGGAAGAUUUGGAUCCUCUAAUUGGACAUUUUGUGUUCAGGAAAUAAAAAAUUCCAGACCUAUGAAAGUUAUUAAAGUUAAUCAUAAAAAUAUCAAAGGAUUACUGGACACAGGAGCAGACUCCAGUUGUAUUUCAGGGAAAGACUGGCCCCAAGCUUCACCCACUAAAGAUACCCCUGCCAACCUUAUAGGUAUUAGACAGGCCACUAAUGUUGCUCAAAGAUCUCAGAUUUUAACCUGGUCUGAUGGAAAACUGUAGGACAAUUCUUCCAUAUGUGGUUCCUUCUCUCCCUUUAAUCAUAUGGCAUUUCUGGCUCCAGAACAGUAACCUUUUCCAGCUAGUAUUCCCAUACAUGUUUGGAUUCCAGAAAGAUCCACCCAUCCCUGCCAUGACUCCCAUCCCAACAACAAGCCUGGAAGAAUGCAGAUACAGAGACUGUGCUAAAACAACUGGAUGCUCUACCAACUUGGGGACAAAUUGGGAUACUUGCAGCCCAAGCAAAACAAAGAAUGGACAAGCAAUAACUUACACCUCCUGAUUGUACUAAUGCCUUAUUUCUUGCCAUGCUAGGCCUUUCAUCUGUACUCCCUGGUAUUUCUGCCAUUAAAAGCCUCUCAUCUCCCAUUACUCAUUUCUUUUUGUGGAAAUUCACUGCUUCUCCCCCCACCCCCACCCCAGUGUAUUACUGCGCUCUAGUGACAAGAAAAGUUCCAAAUCCAUUCAA